CGCCUGGGGAGUACGGGUGAGGUAACGGCUCACCAAGGCAUCGACGGGUAGCUGGUCUGAGAGGAUGAUCAGCCACACUGGGACUGAGACACGGCCCAGACUCCUACGGGAGGCAGCAGUAGGGAAUAUUGCGCAAUGGGGGCAACCCUGACGCAGCAAUGCCGCGUGAGUGAAGAAGGCCUUCGGGUCGUAAAGCUCUUUUAUGGGGGAAGAUGAUGACGGUACCCCAUGAAUAAGCACCGGCUAACUACGUGCCAGCAGCCGCGGUAAUACGUAGGGAGCGAGCGUUGUCCGGAAUUAUUGGGCGUAAAGAGCUCGUAGGCGGUUCGGUAAGUCGGGUGUGAAAACUCAAGGCUCAACCUUGAGACGCCACUCGAUACUGCUGUGACUUGAGUCCGGUAGAGGAGUGUGGAAUUCCUGGUGUAGCGGUGAAAUGCGCAGAUAUCAGGAGGAACACCAGCGGCGAAGGCGGCACUCUGGGCCGGUACUGACGCUGAGGAGCGAAAGCAUGGGGAGCAAACAGGAUUAGAUACCCUGGUAGUCCAUGCCGUAAACGUUGGGCACUAGGUAUGGGAUCAUAUCAACGGAUUCCGUGCCGUAGCUAACGCAUUAAGUGCCCCGCCUGGGGAGUACGG
rnacentral:rRNA from 1 species